UAGAGCAGUGGUUCUCAACCUUCCUAAUGUCGCAACCCUUUAAUAUGGUUUCUCAUGUGGUGGUGACCUGCAACCAUGAAAUUAUUUUCGUUGCUACUUUAUAACUAUAAUUUUGCUACUGUUAUGAAUUGUAAUGUGAAUAACUGAUAUGCAGAAUUUGUUAGGCGACCCCUGUGAAAGGGUCAUUCGACCCCCAAAGGGGUUGCGACCCACAGGUUGAGAACCGCUGCUUUAGACUCUAGGAGAGAAGCAU